CACCCAGAAGACCAAUUUCAUAGUUUCUAUUUCCCCCACAGUGUGGUCUGAGGCUUGUGGAUGAUAGCAGGACAACAGGAGAGUGAAUUCAAGAUUAGAAAACUGAUGCACAGAGAGGUGAAGUCAUUUCCCUAAGACUACACAGCUGGUAAACGACGCAGAUGAGAUAUAAAUCACGCAAGUGAGCCGAGUAUUUCAGUUAAUUUUCAGCACGACCAUGAGUGAGCCCAGGAAUCACUCCCAGCCUGGUGCCUGAGGCCCCCCGGGCAGUCGAAGGGAGCCCUGCACCAGGACAACCCCGGGGUCCCUGCCAGUCCCCUGCGGGCUCGCGCACCAGGAGCUCGUUCCCAGACGCACGGAUGCAGCAUUUGCGAAACAGAGCAUUCAGUUCGACCCCCGGCUGCCCAGCGGCACCUGUGAGGAUUGAACCCAGGGGGUGCUGAGCUACAUUUACAGCCCUUUUUACUUUACGUUGAGACUGGUCUAACCAAAUUG